UACGAAGGGGGCUAGCGUUGCUCGGAAUCACUGGGCGUAAAGCGCACGUAGGCGGCUUCUUAAGUCAGGGGUGAAAUCCUGGAGCUCAACUCCAGAACUGCCUUUGAUACUGAGGAGCUUGAGUUCGGGAGAGGUGAGUGGAACUGCGAGUGUAGAGGUGAAAUUCGUAGAUAUUCGGAAGAACACCAGUGGCGAAGGCGGCUCACUGGCCCGGUACUGACGCUGAGGUGCGAAAGCGUGGGGAGCAAACAGG
rnacentral:rRNA from 1 species